GUCUGUGGGCAUGCCACCCUGAACAAGCCCGAUGUCUGAUCUCAGAAGCUAAGCAGGGUCGGGCCUGGUUAGUACUUCAAUGGGAGACCACCUAGGAAGACCAGGUACUGUAGGCA
rnacentral:rRNA from 1 species